rnacentral:rRNA from 1 species
CCGUAAACGAUGAGUGCUAAGUGUUAGGGGGUUUCCGCCCCUUAGUGCUGCAGCUAACGCAUUAAGCACUCCGCCUGGGGAGUACGGUUGCAAGACUGAAACUCAAAGGAAUUGACGGGGGCCCGCACAAGCGGUGGAGCAUGUGGUUUAAUUUGAAGCAACGCGAAGAACCUUACCAGGUCUUGACAUCCUUUGACAAUCCUAGAGAUAGGACGUCCCCUUCGGGGGCAGAGUGACAGGUGGUGCAUGGUUGUCGUCAGCUCGUGUCGUGAGAUGUUGGGUUAAGUCCCGCAACGAGCGCAACCCUUGAUUUUAGUUGCCAGCAUUCAGUUGGGCACUUUAAGGUGACUGCCGGUGACAAACCGGAGGAAGGUGGGGAUGACGUCAAAUCAUCAUGCCCCUUAUGACCUGGGCUACACACGUGGUACAAUGGGCAGAACAAAGGGCAGCGAAACCGCGAGGUUAAGCCAAUCCCACAAAUCUGUUUUCAGUUCGGAUCGCAGU